rnacentral:misc_RNA from 1 species
GAUGAAGAACGUAGCGAAAUGUGAUAAGUAGUGUGAAUUGCAGAAUUCAGUGAAUCAUCGAAUCUUUGAACGCACAUUGCGCCCCUUGGUAUUCCAUGGGGCAUGCCUGUUCGAGCGUCAUUUGUACCUUCAAGCUCUGCUUGGUGUUGGGUGUUUGUCUCGCCUCUGCGUGUAGACUCGCCUUAAAACAAUUGGCAGCCGGCGUAUUGAUUUCGGAGCGCAGUACAUCUCGCGCUUUGCACUCAUAACGACGACGUCCAAAAGUACAUUUUUACACUCUUGACCUCGGAUCAGGUAGGGAUACCCGCUGAACUUAAGCAUAUCAAUAAGCGGAGGA